rnacentral:rRNA from 1 species
GAUCCUGGCUCAGGAUGAACGCUAGCUACAGGCUUAACACAUGCAAGUCGAGGGUAGCAGGGUAGCAAUACCGCUGACGACCGGCGCACGGGUGAGUAACACGUAUCCAACCUUCCCAUAACUCAGGGAUAGCCUUUUCGAAAGAAAGAUUAAUACCUGAUAGUACUUUUUCAAGGCAUCUUGAGAAAGUUAAAGAUUUAUUGGUUAUGGAUGGGGAUGCGUUCCAUUAGAUAGUUGGUGAGGUAACGGCUCACCAAGUCUUCGAUGGAUAGGGGUUCUGAGAGGAAGGUCCCCACAUUGGUACUGAGACACGGACCAAACUCCUACGGGAGGCAGCAGUGAGGAAUAUUGGUCAAUGGGCGAGAGCCUGAACCAGCCAAGUAGCGUGAAGGAUGAAGGUCCUAUGGAUUGUAAACUUCUUUUAUAGUAGAAUAAAGUGAUCCACGUGUGGAUUUUUGUAUGUAUACUAUGAAUAAGGAUCGGCUAACUCCGUGCCAGCAGCCGC